UACGGGGGGGGCAAGCGUUGUUCGGAAUUACUGGGCGUAAAGGGCUCGUAGGCGGCCAACUAAGUCAGACGUGAAAUCCCCAGGCUCAACCUGGGAACUGCGUCUGAUACUGGCGAGCUUGAGUGCAGGAGAGGAACGCGGAAUUCCAGGUGUAGCGGUGAAAUGCGUAGAUAUCUGGAGGAACACCGGUGGCGAAGGCGGCGUUCUGGACUGCAACUGACACUGAGAGACGAAAGCCAGGGGAGCAAACGGG
rnacentral:rRNA from 1 species